rnacentral:rRNA from 1 species
AUUGAACGCUGGCGGCAUGCCUUACACAUGCAAGUCGAACGGUAACGGGCCUUCGGGUGCCGACGAGUGGCGAACGGGUGAGUAAUGUAUCGGAACGUACCUUUCAGUGGGGGAUAACGUAGCGAAAGUUACGCUAAUACCGCAUAUUCUGUGAGCAGGAAAGCAGGGGAUCGCAAGACCUUGCGCUGAUUGAGCGGCUGAUAUCAGAGUAGCUAGUUGGUGAGGUAAAGGCUCACAAAGGCGACGAUCCGUAGCGGGUCUGCGAGGAUGAUCCGCCACACUGGAACUGAGAAACGGUCCAGACUCCUACGGGAGGCAGCAGUGGGGAAUUUUGGACAUUGGGUGCAGCCCUGAUCCAGACAUGCCGCGUGAGUGAAGAAGGCCUUCGGGUUGUAAAGCGCUAUCGGCCGGGAAGAAAACGUAUCAGCUAAUACCUGGUGCGGAUGACGGUACCGGCAUAAGAAGCACCGGCUAACUACGUGCCAGCCGCCGCGGUAACAC